GAUGAACGCUGACAGAAUGCUUAACACAUGCAAGUCAACUGUGGCGGACGGGUGAGUAACGCGUAAGAAAUUGCCUCACAGCUAGGGACAACAUUUGGAAACGAAUGCUAAUACCUGAUACUGUGAGAGGUGUUUGCGUCCCAUUAGCUAGUGGGGGAGGUAACGGCUCACCAAGGCGUUGGUGGGUAGCCGGCCUGAGAGGGUGAUCGGCCACAAGGGGACUGAGACACGGCCCUUACUCCUACGGGGGGCAGCAGUGGUGAUUAUUGGACAAUGGACCAAAGUCUGAUCCAGCAAUUCUGUGUGCACGAUGAAGUUUUCGGAAUGUAAAGUGCUUUCAGUUGGGAAGCGGUACCAACAGAAGAAGUGACGGCUAAAUACGUGCCAGCAGCCGCGGUAAUUC
rnacentral:rRNA from 1 species